CGGAGGAUCCAAGCGUUAUCCGGAUUUAUUGGGUUUAAAGGGUGCGUAGGCGGCUUUUUAAGUCAGGGGUGUAAAGACGGUAGCUCAACUAUCGCAGUGCCCUUGAUACUGAAGAGCUUGAAUGUACUUGAGGUAGGCGGAAUGUGACAAGUAGCGGUGAAAUGCAUAGAUAUGUCACAGAACACCAAUUGCGAAGGCAGCUUACUAAAGUAUGAUUGACGCUGAGGCACGAAAGCGUGGGGAUCAAACAGGAUUAGAUACCCUGGUAGUCCACGCCCUAAACGAUGAACACUCGAUGUUGGCGAUAUACGGUCAGCGUCUAAGCGAAAGCGUUAAGUGUUCCACCUGGGGAGUACGCCCGCAAGGUUG
rnacentral:rRNA from 1 species